GAUGAACGCUAGCGGCAGGCUUAAUACAUGCAAGUCGAGGGGCAGCACGAAUAGCAAUAUUUGGUGGCGACCGGCAAACGGGUGCGGAACACGUACGCAACCUUCCUUUAAGCGGGGAAUAGCCCGGGGAAACCCGGAUUAAUACCCCAUAAUAUAUUGAGAAAGCACUUUCUUUUAUUAAAGUAUUUAUCACUUAAAGAUGGGCGUGCGCCUGAUUAGGUAGUUGGUGGGGUAACGGCCCACCAAGCCUGCGAUCAGUAACUGGUGUGAGAGCACGACCAGUCACACGGGCACUGAGACACGGGCCCGACUCCUACGGGAGGCAGCAGUAAGGAAUAUUGGUCAAUGGACGCAAGUCUGAACCAGCCACGCCGCGUGGAGAUGAAGGUCCUCUGGAUUGUAAACUUCUUUUAAUUUGGGAAGAAAUGCAUUUUUUCUAAAGUUGCUUGACGGUACCAGAUGAAUAAGCACGGCUAACUCCGUGCCAGCCGCCGCUGU
rnacentral:rRNA from 1 species